AGAGGAAAAAAGGUGGAGCUCCUGGUAGGAUAGCAGUGGCUCUCCCUCUCGCUGAUUCACUGUCUCUCGGUUUGCCGUGGAGAAAAGCAUGUGCUUCUCCUGUAGUCUACUAGCAUCUAGAAAUAACUCCAUGAUACGUCUCCUCCACCAGAAUUCCAUUUUCAGAGUUGCUGUUCGAUGGCAUCAUGCUCCCUUCCAAUUUCUCUCAAUUAUAUUUGUGUGGAUGUAUCCCCUCAUCUUUUUUAUUUCCUCAUCUUUUCUCUCCAAACCUUAUGGUAAGUCACAAAACACUGUGCACAUAGCCAUGUCAAUACCUUGUAUAUUUUCAUGUAACAAAAUAGGCAUAUUUAAGCAUCAAACUUCUUUUAAAGAUAAAUCAUUAUACUGGCAAAAUAUUUUGAUGUAGCUAGUUGAUACUUUUCGGUAGACUAUGAUGUAACAGAAAACAAAAUGCUAAAAUUUUGAGUAUUUAAAUAAUUUAAUCUUCCAUAACAAUUGCAAAGAUCCCAGCAGUAUAAUAUGCAAAAUUCUUACCAGAGUAAGUAACCCCUGUUGUACUGUAUGUUGCACUUUGAGUAUAGGAUGGAACAACAGUAGCUGCAGCUGCUACUGGCUGCACAGUAGAAGAUACUGGAUAUAUAGAAAAAGUAGUUGUUGCUGGACUUGGGGUUGCAGGUUUUAUAGCCGUCACUUGUCGUGUUUGCUGGGCUUGGGUAUAUUGAGUUGCCCCUUGGCUAUAUCCUGCUUUUGGAGCUAAAUAGGAAAGAAAAUAUAAGUGUACAAACAUAGAUAGGCUUUAGUUGAUUUAAUAAAUGCAAGCCCUAUUAAGUAAUGCUAACAAUACCUAAUGAUAUUCUGGGGAAUAAAUGUAAUAAAUGGAGGUGGUUUUUUGGUUGGUUCCUUUUGUUGUUUGGGGGUUUUUGUUUUUUUGUUUGUUUGUUUUGGUUUGCUUGUUUACUUGGUUGUAUUUUUGUUUGUUUUUUACUCAGUUGUAGUUAUGCAUCACGAUGUCUCAGGUCACAUUAGUACAUUUAAACUUGUAUUGUCAUAUUAACAUAAAAAAAAUAUUUUAUGCUUUGUAGCAGUCAUAAUACCAAUGAUUAAAGAACUACAUACAUUAAGUAAUUACAGAACUGCAAAAACAAAAUCUAACCAAAUUAUCAUCUGAACUUGCCAUUGACUAUUUGUACCUAAUUUGGCAAACUUUCUAGGCAAAUCAGCAAAAAGUUUGCCUAGAAAUAUGUUUUGAUUAUAUUUAAUAAUAUUCCAAAACUCAAAGAUAGUUACUUUCAGCAGUGUCCCAACAACAUUCAAGUUCUAGAUGCAGCAUAUUGUUCUACACAUUGACAGGGAUUAAAUGAGAAAGCUAAGAAAAAAAAUCUGGGUGAUGUCAUAUAUUCAAAGACAUAUUUUUUUAAGGUAUUGAAGUAGUACUCACAACGUAUAAUGUCAGGAGUUUGGAGCAUGCAACCCACCUGUCUGGUAGUAUGAUUCAGCUACUGAAGGUUGAGGCUGGGCAGCAGCAGCCACAGCUGCAGCAGUUGCUGUCGGCUGUUGAUAGUAUUGUUUGCUGUCAUAAGCUACAGCUGGGGCAGUAGAUCGAACAUAAGAAUAGGAAUCCUAUAAAUUAAAAAAGGAAAAAAAACCAGUGAAUUUCUCCUUAAAAUAUGUUUCUGGAGUAAUAAAGAUAAUUAGCAGAGUCAAAAAAAAAUCAACAAUAUAUUUCCUUCUAGUCUGCACUAAAAGAUAAAAAAAAAAAAAAGCAAGAUUUACUUACAGAGACAAUGUAUGCACAUAUAUACAUUAAAGAAAUUAAAUUUGUUUACAAAUGCUACAGGCCUAAAGACAAACCUGAUUAAGAUUUUCAGACUUAAUCUAAAAUUUAUCUCAUGCUUUUAAAUCACUCUCCCUUUCAAAUUAAUUUUGUAACUGAAAAGCAACUACUUUUGUUAAUUUUUCAUAGUGACUAUAUUAAAUUCCAAUAAAAUACGAAGGAAAAAACAAUAUACAUCUCCAUAAAGUGUGAAUUUCUACAAACCACAAUAAAGUCACAAGUUUACAAACAUCACCCUAUAUUGGCCUUAAAAAUCCCAUAAUAUUUUUUUUUUUGGCUAUAUUUGCUAGAGUAUGGAAGUUAUACUUUUAAAGCCUUCUUCAUUUUUUGAAAUAUCAACUAUUCCAUUAGGGAGCCACAACUAGUCUAGAAGGGCAAGAUGAGUAGCCCAUUCAACACAUCCAGAACUCAAAAGAUGGCUAGUAAGCUUAGAAAAAGGAGAGCCUGGAAACCACUAUAUGCAUGUAUAUAUAUUUUCCCAUCCUUAUCAUAUUUAUGGUAAAGUAUGAGUAGCUGACGAACUGAUGGGUAACAGCAUGAGCUACAUAUGAACUACACAUAAAAUUUAUUUUUAUUUCCAAUAAAUACAACAAUAGAAUUUCCACCCAACCUGCAUAAAAGUGGAAUUAUUUUUCUUUAAUUUAAGGGAUACUCUUUACUGUCUGAAUACAUCCAAUAACUGACUAGUUAUUAGUUACCUUGUAACUAUGAGUAUAUGUGCAACUGGAAGAACUCCUAUGUUAAAAUUCAUUACCAUAUGUAACAAAUUUUAAAAUCUGUACAAAAGAACUGAUAACGUACAGCAACGAUACAGUCCAAACAAAAAUACUAAUUAGAAUCUAUAUAAUGCCUUGAUAAUUUUAUGACUAAUAUGUUAAAGAAAGAUGUACUAUUUCAACAUUCUCUGUCUCACUAGUAAAUGCAAAUUUUAAAUAUGAGCCAUGCCAAAAAAAUUAGGUAACUUAUGUGUAUAAACACACUAGCCUAGAGAUAUCUACUGAAGACUUGGACUAACAAAUGCUAAUGUAGAAAAAAAGAUGAUAAAAAUACAAAUAAAGUUCACAUUUCCAACUCAAAAUUACCCAGUCAUGUAAAACUUCUCUUUCUGCAUAUAAAUUGUCUGAUUUAAAGCAAUGGGCUAGAGUUACUGAUGUGCAUAUAUGCUUGCGUUACGUGAAUCCAGGUAAAUAGGAAAAACUGCAGCUUUUCACUCUCUUCAAAAAUCUGAACAGGAGUAAACACAUUACCAAGUCCCCAGAUAACUUCUACAAACUGAUAUCUUCCAGUUGCAAAAUUAAUGCAGCACUCUGAUUUAUACUGCAAGUUUCUUUAUUUUUGAACUGAGAAGGAAUACAGUUCACUAACAGACUGCUUCAUACUACAUUUAAGCCAGUGCAAGAAUGGGAAUUUGUCCGAGGUACCAACACGUCUCUCUUCGCAGCCUUGCAAUGAUCCCACCUUGCAUUGGCAUCACAAUUAUGCAGAAGCAAGGAAUUUUAACUUAGCCUCUUAAUCUUAUAGAAAGCCACUCCUUUUUUGAUUUGUUAGUUUUCUGUGGAAUUUUUCCUGAAUUGACUCAUCCAAACACUGGCAACUGCUGGAUUCAAUGCAAGUGUCAACAGAAGUCAUGGCAAGAUGAAAAUAGAGAAACAGCUCUCUUUUGUGGCAAUCUGUAGCCACAUAAAGUUAGGCACCCAGGAAUCUAAUAAGGGAACUAUUUCUAUCUCUCAUUUAAUUUUUUAGUGAAACAUUUUAUUCAAUCAGUUCCAUGACACAGUUUACCACAUGCUACUUGAAAAACUAGAUCAGUCAAGGCAGUACUAUUGUUUUCAGCAGCAGUUCACAAAAUCACUUGGAGGUAAACAUCAGUUCAUUGCUUAUUGUGUGAAAGUCUAAAUCUUAGAUCCUGCAGUAGCACCGCAGAUAAUCCUCUAUAUGGGUCAUAAUACUAGUUACUUCACACCAUCAGUUUUAGCUACUGAGUAAUUUGAACACAGUUUUUCAUAGAAGGAAAAAAUAUAAAUACCAUUACAUUCUCUCACCCAAACAGGCCUCUUUCUUUUAACACACAGUUUAAAAACCAUAAAACAAUAGUAAUUCUUUUUUAAACACACCUGGUAAUUCUGCGUAGUGACAGGAGGUGGUGGUGGUGGUGCUUCUUGUUGCCUCUGUGUAUAACCAUAAUCUGUAGCUGCGUGCGCUGUAGGAUAGCCUCCAUAUGCAGCAGCUGUUGCAGCAGCUGCAACAGCCACUGGAGCAGGCCUGGCUACUGCAACUGUAGCUGCUGCUGGAGCAUAGGCUGCAGUAACUGUGUGUGCAGCAACUGGUGCCUGGUGGACAGUGUAGCUAGCAACCGUAGUUGGAUGGGAAUAGGCUACACCCGAAGCUGGCUGCUGGCUAUAUGGGAAAAAGACAGCAAGUAACUAAUUAGAUUAGUUCAACAUACUAAGCUAAUGCCUCCACAUUUCAAAAUCUCAGAUUUGAUUAAUACUUAUCUGUUCUACUAAUAAACCAGUAAUAGAUAUCUACCUACACAUACACUCCAAUGGCUUCUAUUACCUCUCUUACACUCCCAUUAAAAAAACUAUAUUAUUUUGAAGUUUCUGUGGAAACUGAAAUAUCAAGUGAGAGAUUGUGGGAAUACAAGAAAGACUGUUCAGAGCAGAAGCUGCAGAGCAAGAUAAAUGGCAUGGGAAAGCAACGCUGAGAACCAAGGACAUCUCCAGAAGAGAUAAAAACAAAGUCAAGUAAGCUGAGUGAUGGCUGUGUGAUGAUGACCCUUAUUGGAGGAAGGGCGCGUGGCUAGGAAUGACUCGUAACUGAUUGGAUAAGUGGCUGCAUGCCCAGUUAAGGAGUGUUUGUGGAAUGUUUUGUUGACAUGUAAAGGUAGGUGGAAAAGUUACAAGAGAAAACUUGUGAAUGUAUAUAAGGGAUGUUAGAACCUGCAGCAAACAGUUUGAAUUGUUCACAUCUGAAUCCAUGCCUCAGAUGCUGCAAAUGGCUCCCACUGUGUGGUGCAAAUCAAGCUGAGGCUGUGAGCUUGGUCCAGCAGCACUGCCUGACUGAACUACAGAGAGAUUGUUUUGCGCGCGCCCAUCAACAUUCUGCGGGAUAGAAGGUAUCAUUCAGCAGAUUGAAGGAUCUUUUCUUAAGGAAGUUAACAACCCUGCCUUGUUUGCACAGCUCAGGCGUAGUUUGGAUUAUGUCUCACACCGUACUCUUCCUUCCUUAUUUUAUUAUGCAUAUUCUAGCACACACUACGUUGCCUGGUCCAAUAACUGAGGGCAACCACAAGGCUGAUCAAGCCACAGUUGCUUUUGCUACCCCUCAAUUAUUUCAGCAAGUGUGACUCUCCCAUCAAUUUUUCCAUCAGAAUAGGAGAGCCUUACAAAAACAAUUCCAACUGACAGUGGAUCAAGCCCAUAACAUUAUUGUAACAUUCCCAGACUGCCAGGCAAUUGCCCCUUUGCCUCAAAUAGGGACAAAUCCCCAUGGCACAGCACCUCUUCAAUUCUGCCAAACAGAUGUCACUCAUGUUGAUGAAUUUGGCUGUCUAAAAUAUGUGCAUAUAACAAUAGAUAUUUAUUUUUCUUACAUGUUUGCCACAGUGCAUACAAGCGAAUGCAGUCACAACGCCUGUAAACAUUGGUUAUCUGCUUAUGCUGCUAUGGGGAUCCCACAUACUAUAAAAGCAGAUAAUGGACCUGUGUAUACUUCUAAGGCCACUCAAAUUUUCCUCCAAGAAUGGGGGGUGUAGUGGAAUUCCAGGGUCACAGCCUGAACCAAUGGGUGGGCUCUGUGAGUGUGUGAGUGCGGCAGCGCGGCGGUACGAACGGGGGAGGGACACAUUCCUCAGCUCGGCUCUGCCUGCGCGCUGCUACCGGGAGGGGUGAGUCGAUUCUUUUUGAUAUCUUUCCCUCGUGUGCCUAUUUCUUAAAUAAAGGCUUUGUCAUUACCUUCAUUUGCUCUACAGGGGGGUUAGACAUGUUACAGGCAUUCCUUCUUCUCCCACUGGACAAGCUAUCAUUGAAUGUGCUCAUCAAACGUUGAAAUGUACUCUUAAUAAACAAAAAAAGGGAGAAUACAGGAGACACACCACAAGAAAGAUUAUGUAAGGCUUUGCUUGUGCUAAAUUUUUUUGAAUCACGAGCAUACAGAUGCAACUCGAAUAGAUGGUCAUUUUGGGGCCUCCCCAAUGCUCAAGGAGUGGCCAAUAGUUAAUGUUCAGAAUAUGGCCACAGGACAUUGGGAAGGUCCCUUACCAUUGAUAACUUGGGGUCAUGGAUAUGCUUGUAUUUCCACAGGGACUGGCCCUAGGUGUGUUCCAGCGUGAUACAUUUGGCCUCAUCUCAAGGCAGAAAAUAGCAUCCAGCCCUCAUAAUGACUGGGAUUGUGUGCUUCUUACUUACUGAUAUUGUUUUGCAAUUUGUUGUAUUGUAGAUAACUUGUGGGUGCCAUAGUGAGUGGCCAAAAAUGGCUGGAUACCGCACUGGAUGGUAUCACAAUAACACUGGUAAUGGUAUGACAUAGUGGGUGAUUUUCCUGUGUUACUGAUGCAGCCUCAAGAAUAAGAAUUAUUGGGCACUAUCUAGUUUGCUGAGUGCUUCUUCCUCUAUUUUAAUAGCGGAUCAGAUGUGAAUUGUACAGGACCACGUUACCGGUGCUGGAAUCUAUGGGAAUAGUUCCUUUAGUCUAAUUUCACCACUCCAUUAUCAGUAACUCUUGAUUAUUAUGCUAUUAGCCUAUAAGUUAGCCUUUUCUUAAUAUGCGGAGACAAAAGCUAGAAAGGAAUCCCAGGUAAAGGGAUAACCCUGUGUCAUGGUUUUAUGAUUUUUGGUUAUCGGUAUUCCACAUCAUAACAUCAUGUAGUGCACUGGGAGUUAAAGUAUUAAUGCUCCAGUUCUGGGCACCUGUCCGGAAGAGAAGAAGAACUACAUACCCCAGGGAGCUUUGCGGUCAGAGAGGAGAUAUAACAUCUGGCAAAGUCACAUGAUGUCACUUCUUCCCUCGGCUCUCAUCCCAACCACACAAAUCAUCUCAGCACUACUGUAAGGCCUACAGCUUUUCAGAUACGCUCUCAUUAUAUUUUAUUUAUUAGCUUCAAUUCUAAUUAUAUUGUAUUAUAGUGUGUUAUCUUGCAUUCCGAUACCGUAUUUAGUAAAUUAGUUUGUUUCUCCUCAGAUCGUUGCCUCUGUUUUUAAUUAUUUUGGGGUCUCGUUUCCCUUUUCCGGAGGCGCAGAUUUUGUGAAAUCCCUCCUCCCUGCUAGUCAUGGAACCAGGCCGAACCAGCCCGUAAACCAUCGACAUUCUUGGUGGAGAACGCGGGCAAAAGCUGCUUUUUAGCUUUCUAGAAUGAAUCUCUCUCUCUGCUCGCGGAGAGCUUCGUUGGCUUCAUUAGGAAAGUUUAUCUCUCUUUCACAAGUGCUCACUGAAAACAUGACCUUGAAAGUCCAGGUGGACUGCCAGUAUUCUGGGAUAUUUGUAAACUUUGAGCACUACUAUCUUACUUCUGUAAAGAGAAAAAAAAAUAUUCCUCUUUCUCUUGUACACCUGUUUGCAGAGGGAGCUGCUAAUUUUACGGAACUUGUGAUUUGUAAGCAGGCUCCCCAUCUCUCCCUUGAAUCCUUUAUGCAUUUUCGGAACGCUCAUCCGAUCACGUUGUUAAUCUCCCUGAAUGUACUGCUCGUCAUUUCACUCAGUAUUUGCAUUUAUCAUAUUUUGAAGAAGCCUUCCCCAGAACCAGAGAAUACUGAGUGAAAGGGAGUGUGGAGAGGCUUGGGAGGGACUUUAGAGAGAUAGACAUCUUCAGUGUCAUGGAAUUUUACUCCUGAACCACCUGAAAGACCCUGAGAGCCUAAACAGAUAUUUGAGACAGGAAUGUUGCGGUUCAGGCAGAUCUGAGGAGGCACAAAUGAUUUGGGGCCUGGCUAAUGCUUAUCGGGCCUUAUUCAAUACUAUCCCAGAGAGAGAGAGUUUCUGAAAUUGAGAGCGUCUCUGUACUGAAAGAGAGUGUCUCAGAGCCGAAAGGGAGAAUCUCCAGGUCCAGAAACAGUCUCCAAUCUGAGACAGAGAAUCUACUAGUUGAGAGAAAAGCCCUCCAAUCCAAGCGGGAGUCCCUCCGAUCCGAGAGAGAUGCCCUCCAAACUGAGGGAGACUCCCUGCAAUCCAAACUCGACAGUCUACAAUCUCAAUAAGACACCCUCCGGUCUGAGCGAGACACCUGCCAAUCUGAACGAGACACCCUCCAUUCCGAGAGGGACAUCCUCAAGUCUGAACGGGAUGUACUCAAAACUGAGAGAGAUGCCUUCCAGCAUGCAAAAUUAAGUCUCCGGAUUGAACUAAACAGAAUUCAGUCUCAUCAAGUCAUACUUGAAUCUGAACUAGAUACCCUCAUAACUGAACGACAGACUCCAAGCUGAGCUGGAGAAUGAGAGUUUUGGAACUGACCAACAUGAUCAACCACAGGAGGCACAAUUGAUGUCAGUUGCCCCUGUAAGAGGACAGAAAACGAAACGAAUCUUGACUCACUUAAAGCAUUAGAAAAAGGAGGAGGAGGAGAAAGUAGAGGAAGCAGACACUGUAGGAGAAGAGCAGGAAAGAGGUCCAGAGGAGUGGCUUCAAGAUCCAGCGGAACCACACAUGAGUCCAGGGGAGAGACCCCCAAUAAGAUUGCGGUCACCAAUGCCCAGGAGGACAACAAGAAGUCCUGAAAGAGUAGGAGAUAAGCAAGAUGUUACCAUUACUGAUUGAUCUCUGAAGAUGAAUUAAGGAUUGAUCUCUGAAGAUGAAUUAAGUUUGAGGUCUGAGAAAAGACUUUUCAUGCCACCCAAAUGAGCCUAUUGUCACCUGGUUACUUAGAUGUUAAAACAAUGGGGCCAACAGUGUGUGGCUAGAUAGUAGAGAAGCUCACCAUCUGGGUGGCAUUGCUAGGGACUCAGCCACUGACGGAGGUAUUAGUACAUGCCAGAACCAGGCCUUCACCCUCUGGAAGCAGAUGCUGCUACCUGUAAAAGAAAGAUACCCCUUCAAAGACAAGCUGAUACCUGAGAAACGGAAAUGGAUUGAUAUGGAAAAAGGCAUCCGUUAUUUGAGAGAAUACGCUGUGGUGGAAAUGUUACAUAGCCCCACUUUCAUUCCUGUUGUAGUAGGCGUCUUGCGGGGCUACGGGAUGUACGGGACAGGCCUCUCC